AUUUUUUCAGUAAAGUGUUUAAAUGCCUUUUCUUCUGAUUUCUAGUAUUUUUUCUUUAUGUCUUUACAUACCCUUAAUAAAGAAGACAUAAAGUAGCCUAAUGACUGCUGGGAGCCAGUAGAGCUUUGUUAUAUGUAGUUUUGAUUAAUAAUGUAUAGCUAAGAAAUGAAUGAACAUAAUUUGAUUGAUAGUAAAUCUCAAGUCACAACUGCUUGAUAUAUUUUGGUGGAAAAAGUGGGUACAUUAUUAUUAGAUAUGUUGAAAAGCAGAAAAGCGACAUGUAGGGAAAAACGUUUUCUGAGUCUGGAAGCUUUUGUCAUGGUUUUCAAACAUUGAAUGUCUAAAUUAUGCUUAGGAAUUAUCUCACAUAUACUUUAUGUAUGUGUAUUGGCCAGAAGACUUAGAUUCAAGUACUGUCUUAGCUAUAAUUUGUGGCAUUGUGGAUGAUGCAGUUAAACCUUUUGAGGCUUCAAUUUAUUUUAACCUGUUAAUAAGAGUGGUUCUCAAUUGGGGACUGUUGGGGAGUGCUGCUGGCACGUAAUGGGUAGAGGUAGGCAUGCUGCUAAACAUAGUCCAAUAUAUAGGAUAGGUCUCUACAACAAAGAAUUACCUGGCUCCAAAUGUCAAUAAUGCUGCAGUGGAGGAAUUUUAGAUUAGGUGAUCUGCUAGGUACCAAAAAUAUCCUAUUUUGUUUUCAUUUUAAUUAUUGUUCCAUUCUCUGUUUACGUAAGAAUAUUGUGAGUAAAUUUGCC
rnacentral:lncRNA from 1 species